rnacentral:rRNA from 1 species
ACGCUCGACACCUACGAGAGGCAGCAGUGGGGAAUAUUGCACAAUGGGGGAAACCCUGAUGCAGCGACGCCGCGUGAGCGAAGAAGUAUUUCGGUAUGUAAAGCUCUAUCAGCAGGGAAGAAGAAAGACGGUACCUGACUAAGAAGCCCCGGCUAACUACGUGCCAGCAGCCUCGGUAAUCUGAGCGGGCUGGCAAGGC